UUUCCGUAGGUGAACCUGCGGAAGGAUCAUUAAUGAAUUGUCAUGGGGUUCGAUGCUGGCAGCCAAUUUUUGGAUGCAUGUGCUUGCCCUAACAAUCAUCUUCCAAACACCUGUGCACAUUUUUGAGGAAGUCUUGAGUUGGUUGCCGCUCUUGGGUGAUUUUCUCACAUUCCCUUAAAUCAUUAUACGCUAUUAACAAUGUUGAACGUGCUCUGUGCCGCAAGGCUAUUAAUAUAAUACAACUUUCAACAACGGAUCUCUUGGCUCUC
rnacentral:misc_RNA from 1 species